UACGUAGGGUGCAAGCGUUGUUCGGAAUUACUGGGCGUAAAGGGCGCGUAGGCGGGCCCGUAUGUCGAUUGUGAAAGCCCUGGGCUUAACCCGGGAAUGGCAGUCGAAACUGCGGGUCUUGAGUGCCUGAGAGGAUGGCGGAAUUCCCGGUGUAGAAGUGAAAUUCGUAGAUAUCGAGAAGAACACCGGUGGCGAAGGCGGCCAUCUGGACAGAUACUGACGCUGAGACGCGAAAGCGUGGGGAGCAAACAGG
rnacentral:rRNA from 1 species